UGCUUAAGACAUAGCGUUAAUGCACAGGAUCCCAUCAAAACUCUACAGUUAAGCGCACUCGGGCUAGAGUAGUACUAGGAUGGGUGACCACCCGGGAAGUCCUAAUGUUUUACAUGC
rnacentral:rRNA from 1 species